rnacentral:lncRNA from 1 species
AUGUGGGCCAAGCAGGCCCAAGGGGAGCCCAUAAUUCCUAGAGAGAGCUAGAGGAAGGCGAUUUGGUAGUGAUCACUUGUACUAGACGGUUUUGCUUAUUCAAGUAAUAGAAUCGUGUGCAAGUGGUUAAAGGUGAUUCGUUGUGUUCUUCGUUUUUCAUAUUUUUCGAUUUUCUUGAAUAAUCUUGUGAUUGGAUUCCGCACUUUCACAAGAUUAGGUUUGAUAUCAUUGAAAGAUCCGUUUCACGGGACUUACAAGUGGUAUCAGAGCCAUUAGAACCUGUUUCUAGGCUCGGUUUGAUAUCAAAUAUUCAAGAUUUGAAAUUUUUGUUCAUCGUGUUCUUCACGUUCUUGGUAGUGUUCAUCAAAUAUUUGUCAAAAAUCAUUGUAUUUUGGUGUGUCAAUUUUGUUUGAAACUGUUAAAAGAUAUCAAACGAAUUUGGCAUCUCAAAAGGAAUAUUUUUUUUCUAUUGAACGAUUUCAUUUUCCUUAUUUUUGGGAGAAUUGGUUUGACAAAUUUUCGGAACAAAAUCUUUUGGAAUACUCGAAUUUCAUUACUUUCCAUAUAGUGGUUUUGAGUCCACUGUUUCCGAUUAUAAUAUCAAAGGUUUCGAGUCCCAUCAUUUCAUCACAGUCUCGAGUCGCAAUCUCUUCAACCAUCAUCACAGCAGCUCUUGUGGUCUCGAGUCACCUCCACAGCCGCAAUCAAGAUCUCGGUUCAUCACGGUUUCGGUCUCGACUCAUCACCCUCUCACCGUCUCGAGUCGCAAUCACGGUUCCGAAUUACGGUUUCGAGUUUCACUUCAUCUGAGUCGCAACAACGAGAAACACCUCCACUCGCAACCUCCACUCGCAACCAGGUUUCAAGUUCACUACAGAUCUCGACUCAAUCACAAUCUUGGUCUCGAGUUGUUUUGAGUCGCAACCACGGGUUACACCAUCACCGUUCCAAGUCAUUCAUUCAGACUCGCAACCGUUCAGACUCGCAACUACGGUUCCGAGUCGCAACCGACAUCUCGACUCAUCGUGUUUUGCUUUCGAGUCGCAAUCAUCAGAGUUCUCGAGUCAGCCGGCCUUGACUCGCAACCUCGAUUACGAGUCGCAACCCUCACACGGUCUCUGAUCACGUUUCUGGUUGCAAGUCGACACCUUCGUUCACCUUCACCGAACAUCACCUGCAACCUCCAUUAAUAACCUCCACCAUCCACCGAUCAUCAUUAACACCGUUCAACCUACAAUCAACAUCGUCGGCCACCAUCUCCGUUCAUCUUUUUCUUCUUCUCCGGUUCAAGUUCGACAUCAAAUUCGGGUUUUCGACACCGCAACACUCAUCAUAUCGUCAUCUCCUCUGUCAAUCAUCAUCGUCUGAUCCUUCGACCAUCGUUCAUCUUCGUUUUGGUAUCAAGUUCGAGGUCGAAUUCAUCAUCGUCACCAACCACCGGUAUCUCCGAUCUUCGCCGGUCAUUCUUCUCUCCGAUCUUCCGGUCCUCCAUUCACCGUUUCUCCGCCACCUGCACAUUUGAUAACCGUUAAUUCAUCCCCAUCUCCGCCGCGAUCACCGUUUUAUUCACGUCGAACCGUCUAUCAUCAUCAUCGUAACCAUUGUCAUCCACAGCAUACUUUCGCAACCACCAGUUAACCACCUCUCGUCAAUUGUAAACUACACCACAUCGUUCCACGACCACCGUGUUUCACACACACCCACCACCAUAGUUUUGUUUAUUAUUUAAUUAAGUA